UAGAAUUCCAGGUGUAGCGGUGAAAUGCGUAGAGAUCUGGAGGAAUACCGGUGGCGAAGGCGGCCCCCUGGACAAAGACUGACGCUCAGGUGCGAAAGCGUGGGGAGCAAACAGGAAUAGAUACCCUGGUAGUCCACGCCGUAAACGAUGUCGACUUGGAGGUUGUGCCCUUGAGGCGUGGCUUCCGGAGCUAACGCGUUAAGUCGACCGCCUGGGGAGUACGGCCGCAAGGUUAAAACUCAAAUGAAUUGACGGGGGCCCGCACAAGCGGUGGAGCAUGUGGUUUAAUUCGAUGCAACGCGAAGAUCCUUACCUACUCUUGACAUCCAGAGAACUUUCCAGAGAUGGAUUGGUGCCUUCGGGAACUCUGAGACAGGUGCUGCAUGGCUGUCGUCAGCUCGUGUUGUGAAAUGUUGGGUUAAGUCCCGCAACGAGCGCAACCCUUAUCCUUUGUUGCCAGCGGUCCGGCCGGGAACUCAAAGGAGACUGCCAGUGAUAAACUGGAGGAAGGUGGGGAUGACGUCAAGUCAUCAUGGCCCUUACGAGUAGGGCUACACACGUGCUACAAGGGCGCAUACAAAGAGAAGCGACCUCGCGAGAGCAAGCGGACCUCAUAAAGUGCGUCGUAGUCCGGAUUGGAGUCUGCAACUCGACUCCAUGAAGUCGGAAUCGCCAGUAAUCGUAGAUCAGAAUGCUACGGUGAAUACGUUCCC
rnacentral:rRNA from 1 species